UACGAAGGGGGCUAGCGUUGUUCGGAAUCACUGGGCGUAAAGGGUGCGCAGGCGGAUCAUUAAGUCAGGGGUGAAAUCCCGAGGCUCAACCUCGGAACGGCCUUUGAUACUGGUGAUCUUGAGUCCGGAAGAGGUGAGUGGAACUGCGAGUGUAGAGGUGAAAUUCGUAGAUAUUCGCAAGAACACCAGUGGCGAAGGCGGCUCACUGGGCGCUUAUUGACGCUGAGGCGCGAAAGCGUGGGGAGCAAACAGG
rnacentral:rRNA from 1 species